UUCCGGAGCAUUUUACAACGU
rnacentral:piRNA from 1 species